rnacentral:rRNA from 1 species
GGGUGCGUAACGCGUAUAGAACCUACCUUUUACAGAGGAAUAGCCUUUAGAAAUGAAGAUUAAUGCCUCAUAGUAUUGUAGACUGGCAUCAGUUUAUAAUUAAAGAUUUAUCGGUAAAAGAUGGCUAUGCGUCCUAUUAGUUAGUUGGUAAGGUAACGGCUUACCAAGACAGCGAUAGGUAGGGGUCCUGAGAGGGAGAUCCCCCACACUGGUACUGAGACACGGACCAGACUCCUACGGGAGGCAGCAGUGAGGAAUAUUGGACAAUGGAGGAGACUCUGAUCCAGCCAUGCCGCGUGUAGGAAGAAUGCCCUAUGGGUUGUAAACUACUUUUAUACAGGAAGAAACACUGGUAUGUAUACCAGCUUGACGGUACUGUAAGAAUAAGG